rnacentral:rRNA from 1 species
GGUGACAGGUGGUGCAUGGUUGUCGUCAGCUCGUGUCGUGAGAUGUUGGGUUAAGUCCCGCAACGAGCGCAACCCCUAUUGUUAGUUGCCAUCAUUCAGUUGGGCACUCUAGCGAGACUGCCGGUAAUAAACCGGAGGAAGGUGGGAUGACGUCAAAUCAUCAUGCCCCUUAUGACCUGGGCUACACACGUGCUACAAUGGUUGGUACAACGAGUUGCGAGUCGGUGACGGCGAGCUAAUCUCUUAAAGCCAAUCUCAGUUCGGAUUGUAGGCUGCAACUCGCCUACAUGAAGUCGGAAUCGCUAGUAAUCGCGGAUCAGCUAUGCUACGGUGAAUACGUUCCCGGGUCUU